GAAAUGCGAUAAGUAAUGUGAAUUGCAGAAUUCCGUGAAUCAUCGAAUCUUUGAACGCACAUUGCGCCCUCUGGCAUUCCGGGGACAUGCCUGUCCGAGCGUCAUUACGCACCCUCAAGCCCGGCUUGUGUGAUGGGCCCUGGCGUCUCGUUCGCGAGACGGGCCCGAAAGGCAGCGGCGGCGUCGACCCGAUGAGCCCGAGCGUAUGGGGACUUUUGUCACACGUUUGCGGUGCGGACCGGCGCCUGCUUGACUUUUCUGAUUAUCCAGGUUGACCUCGGAUCAGGUAGGGAUACCCGCUGAACUUAAGC
rnacentral:misc_RNA from 1 species